rnacentral:rRNA from 1 species
UAUUGGUCAAUGGACGAGAGUCUGAACCAGCCAAAUCGCGUGAAGGAAGACUGCCCUACGGGUUGUAAACUUCUUUUGUACAGGAAUAAAAGACAUUACGUGUAAUGUAUUGCAUGUACUGUCCGAAUAAGCAUCGGCUAACUCCGUGCCAGCAGCCGCGGUAAUACGGAGGAUGCGAGCGUUAUCCGGAUUUAUUGGGUUUAAAGGGUGCGCAGGCGGGAUUUUAAGUCAGCGGUGAAAUUUUCAGGCUCAACCUGAACACUGCCGUUGAAACUGGUAUUCUUGAGUCUGGAUGAAGUAGGCGGAAUUCGUUGCGUAGCGGUAGCAUGCUUAGAUAUAACGAGGAACUCCGAUUGCGUAGGCAGCUUACUAAGCCAUAACUGACGCUCAAGCACGAAAGCGUGGGGAUCAAACA